rnacentral:piRNA from 1 species
UAGUUUACAAGUAGGGAUUUUGAAGUGG